rnacentral:lncRNA from 1 species
AUUUGAACGUUGUAAGAAAUUCUUUCCAACUUCAUAACUAACCAUAUAGCAAGAGCACAAAACAUUUUGGCAUACAAGCUUGAACGUGGUGCUCAAUGUCUUCUUUCAGUUGUGUCAUUUAUUACCUCCGAUUCAGCUAGCCAAAUUGAAUUAUGUUUUUUUCUAUUAUGUCAGUUUCAUAUUGACAAAAAAAAUCUAUAGGCUAUGUUAUAAAAAUACAAAAUCUAAUAACACUGAAUUUCCUUAAAUAUUUAAAUUAUUAAUUAAUACCAUCUCAUUUUGUUUGAAUUUAAAUUCUAAGUUGAUUAGUUGACAAAUAUUUUCUAACUACUGUAU